GGCCAGUUAGCUCAGUCAGUUGAGUGUGGUGCUGAUAACACUAAGGUCGUGGGUUCGAUCCCUGUUUGGUCC
rnacentral:tRNA from 1 species